rfam:Pan troglodytes isolate Yerkes chimp pedigree #C0471 (Clint) chromosome 5, whole genome shotgun sequence.
CAAGCAUUGGUCUCAGCAGAUUGAAGAGAGCACCACAGUGGUCACCACUCAGUCCGCUGAGGUUGGAGCUGC